GACGAACGCUGGCGGCGUGCUUAACACAUGCAAGUCGAACGGAAAGGCCUGCUUUCCCUUGUGGAUUGCGGGUACUCGAGUGGCGAACGGGUGAGUAACACGUGAGUGAUCUGCCCCCAACUUGGGUAUAAGCCUGGGAAACUGGGUCUAAUUCCCGAUAGGACUGCAGGGUGGUGCCUGUGGUGGAAAACGAUUUUCUAGUGGUUGGGGAUGAGCUCGCGGCCUAUCAGCUUGUUGGUGGGGUAAUGGCCUACCAAGGCGGCGACGGGUAGCCGGCCUGAGAGGGUGGACGGACACAUUGGGACUGAGAUACGGCCCAGACUCCUACGGGAGGCAGCAGUGGGGAAUAUUGCACGAUGGGCGGAAGCCUGAUGCAGCGACGCCGCGUGGGGGAUGACGGCCUUCGGGUUGUAAACUCCUUUCGACCGCGAGGAAGCCACCUGGUUGGAAGGGUGGUGACGGUAGUGGUAGAAGAAGCACCGGCUAACUACGUG
rnacentral:rRNA from 1 species